rnacentral:rRNA from 1 species
UACGUAGGCAGCAAGCGUUGUUCGGAAUUACUGGGCGUAAAGGGCUCGUAGGCGGCCAACUAAGUCGGACGUGAAAUCCCCAGGCUCAACCUGGGAACUGCGUCCGAUACUGGAUGGCUUGAAUCCGGGAGAGGGAUGCAGAAUUCCAGGUGUAGCGGUGAAAUGCGUAGAUAUCUGGAGGAAUACCGGUGGCGAAGGCGGCAUCCUGGACCGGCAUUGACGCUGAGGAGCGAAAGCCAGGGGAGCAAACGGG